rnacentral:lncRNA from 1 species
CUUUUUAUGUGUUCAAAAUGUACCAUUCAAAGGUGAAAGUGCGUUAUAUCGACUAGAGGGGGUGAAUAGGCGAUUUUUAGAAUUUCAUCACUCAGGAAAUUCCUUUUGAGGAAUUUUCUCACUCAUGAAUAACUUGCAUCGAAAACAGCAAAGGAUCAGAAGUGCAAAGACUACAACAGCAGUUUUUUGAUGAGGAUUAUGGAAAACAGUUUGCACAAUAUGCAGGCACAGAGUAAGGAUGUGAGGAUUAACAGAUGUGAAGAAUUUGGGUUGAGGAAAUUCAGAGAAAAUCUUCAGCAAAUUCUUCAAACAGAGACAACAAAAGUCUUCAACAUACAAAAUUGAGG